rnacentral:rRNA from 1 species
CAGCCGCCGCGGUAAUUCGGAGGGUGCAAGCGUUAUCCGGAAUCAUUGGGUUUAAAGGGUCCGCAGGCGGGCGUAUAAGUCAGUGGUGAAAUCCUGCAGCUUAACUGCAGAACUGCCAUUGAUACUGUACGUCUUGAAUUCGGUCGAAGUGGGCGGAAUGUGUAGUGUAGCGGUGAAAUGCAUAGAUAUUACACAGAACACCGAUAGCGAAGGCAGCUCACUAGGCCUGGAUUGACGCUCAGGGACGAAAGCGUGGGGAUCAAACAGGAUUAGAUACCCUGGUAGUCCACGCUGUAAACGAUGAUUACUCGUUUUCGGCGAUAUACUGUCGGAGACUAAGCGAAAGUGAUAAGUAAUCCACCUGGGGAGUACGAUCGCAAGGUUGAAACUCAAAUGAAUUGACGG